UGGUCACUGUUUCUUGAGAAGACUGUCCUUUCUUCUUUGCAAGUUUUUGGCUUGAUCUUCAUGAACUAACUGGCCACACACAUGCGGGUUUUCCUGGGCCCUCUAUUCUGUUCCUGUAGUCCAUGUGUUGGUGUUUGUGCCAAUUCCUCACCGUUGUGGUUACUACAGCUCCGGGAUGUCGUUUGAAGUCAGAGAGGAAGAUGCCUCCAGGUGUGUUCUUCUUAGAGUCUUUUUGGCUGUUCAAGGUCCUUAGUUGUUGCAGGCUAAUAUUAGGAAUGUUUCUAUUUCUAUGAAAAAUGCCAUUGGCUAUUAUGUUGUGAUUGCAGUCUGUGCGUUUGCUGAUGGCUUUGGUUGGAAUGGACAGUCUGCUCAUUGUUCCAGUGCUUGAGCAUGGAAUAUGUUUCUAUUUAUUUGUGUUUUCUUCAGUUUCUUUAUCAGUGCUUUCUAGUUUUCUGACUACUGGUCUUUUAUGUCCUUGGUUAAGUUUGCUGCUCGAUGUUUUAUUCUUUUUGAUGCAAUUAUAAAUGAGAUUUUCUUAGUUUUUGUUUCUGAUUAUUAUUAGUGUAUGCAAACACCACUGAUUUUUGUAUAUUGAUUUCAAAUAAUUGAACUUUACUGAAUAUAUUCUAAAAACUUUUUGAGAAGUGAUGUGGAAAAUUUGAUUUGUAAAAUCUGUUUCUCCUGCAGUAGGUCAUCCAGAGGACCCGAGGCAUGACGGCUACUAAUAGAGUCUUCCCACAGUGCUUCUUGACAGUGUAGACUCCUGCAUGGGCAGUGAGCAUCACAACUUCCCUUGAACUUGAUCUAGGACGUCCUGGUGAGGAGCUCAGAACUAACAAGUCACCACCAAUGGGAAAGGUCAAAAGGAGAAGCCACGUGUCCAACCACCUCCCAGAAUCCUCCUCGCUGGCGUCCAUCUUGGCUGAGCAACGUGUGCACCACCAGGAAGGACCCUGAGUCAGAAUGAUUGGCCAAAGACAACCUGGAAACCAAUCUCAUCACCAUAAAACCCGAGACUGUGAGCCACGUGGCACAGCAGUCCCCUGGGAUCCCUUACUCUUCUGCUCUCCUCCCAGGAGCCCCUUCCCAAUAAAGUCUCUUGCUUUGUCAGCA